rnacentral:lncRNA from 1 species
CUUGGGUUGAAUCUCCAAAUCCCCAACAAAUAAAAACCCACCAGUCCUACUUUCUGAAAAGUAAUUGUUCAUUGAGUUCAACUAACUUAUAGAAAAAUAUUCUGUAUUUAUGAUUUCUAGAGCGGCUGGUUGUAGAUGAAAACAGUUUUGAGCUGGGGAAGGGAGGUAUGGAAAAGUGAAAGGACGAAAAGUUAAAGCGCUGAGGACGCUGUGAACCAAACGCACUUACAUAUUUUUAGAAAUAAAAGUGACAACCUUGCAUAAGAGCUACUUUGCUGGCGAUUCUGGGAAGUGUGGUCCAGAAGCUCCAGGUGGUCAGCCACUUCCGCGUAGCACGGGGACUACUGCCCGUGUUCCUCCCAGGAAUUCUGGGAAGUGUAGUCCGGGAGCCGAGUCCAGGCCUGAGCACUUCCGCCUCAGGAGGGCAUCAUCAAUGCCCACUGGGAGGUGAGUAUCCUUUGCGUCUGCUCAGGUCUUUCCUGGGUUGCGGGUGGAAUACGGAGGUGUUGGCCCUAACUCUGGGGGAAAAUAAGCCUUGGCGGCAGAGGCGACGGUCUGCGUCUCCCUCGCUUGUAGGGUUUUUGCACGUCCCUGAGUCGGGGGCGGGCCCCGGUCGCGCAUCACUGCUUUGGGGUCUCCCCCGCUCUCGGGUCUCCUGUUUCCCCCGCUUUCCACACGCUCUGCAGCUCUCUGGCCGUGUAAUCUUAGUAGUUACCCAACGACGCCGUUUCCCCUCUGCACAGGGGUUUAUUUGUAGCCGACCUAGUAGGGGCUGGGAGGGUUAUCAGAACCAUCCUGGCACGGCUGCUGCCGGCGGCCAAUUCCCGAGAAGCCCUCGGGUGCUGAGCUCCCUCCGCAGCGCCUUUGGUCCGGCUUUGAGCCUAAUGACCCCUGGCCUGUGUCCCCCUUCUGUCGCAUGCCUGGGGUCGCUCACUGGGAGUUAUCCUGGACCAGGGACACAAUCUCAUAUUCCAUCCUCCUUUCCUUCCUCGGCCCCCACUUCUCAAAAAGGACUGCGGAUAGUUGAAGGGUGUGACCCCUUGGCGACACCAUCCAAUGUGAGAGGUUGCAUGCCAUUUCUACUCCGUUAUUAUUCCUGAGCCACAGAGGAGGCCCAAGAGGAUAAUUCAUCUACAGAAUGUCACUCAGCCAUCACUAGAAGUAAAGCCAUCUGAAAUGGCAUGUCCCCAUCUUUUUCUCCCUGACACCCUUCAUCCUGAUCUGUUGGUUGUUAUUAUUACUUGUCUCCCCACUGUAGUAUCCAUUUCAUGGGCACAGGGACUUUCUUCACUGCUGUCUUUAAUACACAGAAUUGAAGAUUUAUUGAAUGAAGAAACGAAUAAACCUGGUCAGCAGUAAUAAGGUGCUCAGUUAAUGUAAAAUGUAUCUUGAUCACCUUUUCAUGCAAUCAUUCAUUUUUUUCAGCAUCUCAUAUAUUGCCUGCCUGCUGCAUUAACGAAUGCUCUACACUGGAUAAAAAGCAGUGAACAAAACAAGGAGGCUUCCAGUCCCAAAGUGGGGAUAGACCGAAAAUAAAUAAAAUGUGCAUUGGUAUGUUAGAGAGUGAGAGUGCUAAAUAUAUAAAGUGAAUGGGAGAAGAAGG